CCCUUAGAUGUUCUGGGCAGCACGCGCGCUACAAUGGUCUUCGCAAACGGAUGCAUUCUCGAAGGAGAAUGCCAAUCUUGGAAUCUAUGCCUUGGUCGGGACAGUUGCUUGCAAUUUUUCGACUCGAACCAGGAAUUCCUUGUAAUCGUGAUUCAUCACAUCACGAUGAAUACGUCCCUGCCCUUUGUACACACCGCCCGUCGCUCCUACCGAUUGAAUGAUCCGAUGAAUAUCAUGGAUUGAGGAUGCAAGUAGGUUCGCCUAUCUUCAUCUUCGAGAAGUGAAGUAAAUCUUAUCAUUUAGAGGAAGGAGAAGUCGUAACA
rnacentral:rRNA from 1 species